UUUUAUGAGAAUCCUGAUAAGAGAGGUAGAAUUGUGAAAAAAAAGAACAAGAUAUAUUUGUUUUGUAUAAUUUAAAAUGGAAGAACAGUUGUAACAUCUCCAUCAGUUGGGUUAUUAGAUAAUGAUCUAAGCUAACUCAGACCAGCCUCAUUAAGAUAACCAAAGAAGAGUAAGAGAGGCAUAUAUUAAGAUUGUUGUUAUUUUUCUUAUUCCAAGCUUGAGAUUUUAAUAGAAUGUUUCGUGUUUAUUUGGGGAAUGUGGAUCCAAAGAUUGUUGUGGAUGAACAUAAAGACAAUUCUGUGAUUCGAGCAGCUAGAAGGUGAAGAGAUUUUUCUCUACCUUUACAAUUUUUAUUGUUGUUAAAUAUGAUCUUGUUGAUGUGUAUAUAUACUUGUUUGCUUUUGAUUUACUUGUUUGCUUUCGACUUAUUUUUUCAGAAUGUUUGCAGUUUUGUAUGUUGUGAUUUAAAGGGGAAGAAUCCUUUUCUAACUUUCCGAUUUUAGUUAAAUCUGAGAUUCCACAAUAAGCCAUGCAGAUUUAUCAUUUAUGGUUUCUGAUUAAUCCACCAUAGUCAUCACUGGUGGUGUAGGAGCCAUCAGAAUUCAGCAUAUGCUAUCCCAGGUGGGGGAUCCAUAUAUAACAUGUUUGAACUUGAGAUUUAUUUCAAUAACAUAUUAUUUGCAAAUUGGAUUGAUUUUUUGAGUUUUUUUAAAGUACAUUAGAAUGUUGUCAAGUGGAGUGUAUGUCUAAUAUUGAGUGCUCUAACUUCAGGGUAAUAUGUUUAUUUUAAAGUGCUUUAAUUUUUAUUUUGAUCUGUAUUUGAAUAAAUUUUCUAUUGUCCAUUCGAGAGUAUGCUUGUAAUGUUGCACACUUAAAUAUAAUUCUACUUGAUUGGAUGGUUGUUUUUGUAGGACGGUUGGACUGUUUUCGACUCGUCUUAAGAGUUAUUUUGCUAUUCAUCGACAAAUUUUUAAGGACGAAAGGGCUCAUUUUAAGAGUUAUUUGGGGGCCUAUCGAUUAUUUUUCAAGGACGAAAAGGGAAGAUAAGCCUUUGAAAAAUAUCGUUCUACUCGUAAUACAAUCGUGGAAAAUUGUGUAAAAAUAUUGGCAUAUGUUUGUACCUCAAAAAUGGUCGUUGAUAGUUGGAUAAUUGUUAUCCUUCUAAUCAAAAGAAU
rnacentral:lncRNA from 1 species